UACAGAGAGUGCGAACGUUGUUCGGAAUUACUGGGCUUAAAGCGCGCGUAGGCGGCGAUACAAGUGUCGGGUGAAAUCCCACGGCUCACCCGUGGAACUGCCCGGCAAACUGUAUUGCUCGAGUGUGGUAGGGGAGAGCGGAACUCCUGGUGGAGCGGUGAAAUGCGUAGAUAUCAGGAGGAACACCGGUGGCGGAGGCGGCUCUCUGGUCCACAACUGACGCUGAGGCGCGAAAGCUAGGGUAGCGAACGGG
rnacentral:rRNA from 1 species